CCAAAGGCUCUUCUCAGAGCCGCCACAUAGUCACUGAGAGUUGGAA
rfam:Xenopus tropicalis strain Nigerian scaffold_56_contig_20, whole genome shotgun sequence.